rnacentral:tRNA from 2 species
GGGCGCAUAGCUCAGGUGGUAGAGCAGCUGACUCUUAAUAAGCGGGUCCAAGUUUCGAGUCCUUGUGCGCCCACCA